GAGAAAAAUGGGCCAUCUUGUCCCUCAUUCUAAAUCCUAUUUCAUCUUUGUUCUUCAAUGGCCAAAAUGGUCAUAAGUUUCAUGAAGUUUGAGCCAGGAAAUCAGGGAUUUUCUACAAGGUCAAAGUUACCUUAUUUCAGCUGUCCAGGCCAGGAGAUACUGAUGACAAAAUACUGGGUCCAAUUCAUGCUCAGCUUGGUGUUUUUGGUUAUCGUGACCGGCGACGGAGUCCAACUCACGUCCAAAGCGCGGUGGCUGGGUCGCGGGCAUGCGUGCCACUUUGUUCUGCGGUCCUCAUCGGUGUUGCGAUACUGAUGACGGACUUAGGUUCAAGGUACACGGUCCCAUCAUCAUCAGUGUUGAUUGACGGGAGCAGUAGCAGAGUGUUGCUAGUCAUUCACGAUAUCACCCGUUGUAGAGUAUGGAUGGGUUUAGUCAUACGAUUGUUAACAGUAGUAUGCAAGCUGGCCAGCGCCCUACCUGACCUCGAGGGUGAUGGAAUGACUGGGGUCGAGUCCUGUUGUUAGCCUGCGGAAUUUCGUCAGACGAAAUGUCAGGCGUGUCCGUGUGGAACUUGUGCUAAACCCUUGGUUUAGUGCUAAUGACAAAGACAUUGGGCUCUUUGGAGUAAUAGCAUGGUACUCGACCUCUUUGUGCUUCACAAAACUGCUUUUGCCCCUGAAAUCGACAAGACGGAGAAGAAGGAGUGCCUGCCUCCAGCUCGUCAGCGAGGAGCCACUGGACCCCAAGAAUACGGUGUUGAAGCCAAUGAUGGUGCCACAGAGAGUAUGAGUAUCAUAUAUCAGUAGUUGUAUGAAGAUAGAUGCAUCUUAAGGAUGUUGAAUCAACUUCAAACUUAGCUAUCAAUCUGAUCUUCAUGAUCUCAACAGAAUUGUGGUAAAAAAGAUUCAGAAAAACAUAUUGAGAAAUUAGAUAACACCUCAACAAAAUCUAUGAUUCUAUUUUAACUUAUUUAAAUUUCAGGACUGGGAUACAAGGGACACAGGAUACUAGGGACAUUGGAUACAAGGUGCCUGCCUCCAGCUCGUCAGCGAGGAGCCACUGGACCCCAAGAAUACGGCGUUGAAGCCAAUGAUGGUGCCACAGAGAGUAUGAGUAUCAUAUAUCAGUAGUUGUAUGAAGAUAGAUGCAUCUUAAGGAUGUUGAAUCAACUUCAAACUUAGCUAUCAGUCUGAUCUUCAUGAUCUCAACAGAAUUGUGGACAUGGGAUACAAGGGACACAGGAUACUAGGGACAUUGGAUACAAGGGACACUGGAUACUAGGGACACAGAAUACAAGGGACACUUUACACAAGGGACACGGGAGACAAAGGACGCCGGGCUGGAGACACAAAAGAGAAUGUUGUAUCCUACAAGGUCUCUCCGAGAUUCCAUCAUCACCAAGUCCAGGGUGACCGAGCGGGGUCGCAGAGAUGAAAGCCAAUCACUCAAAGGAUUGAGGAUGCAAGCAACGGUAUCUGUAUGCUAGAUGUAUUUGUAUUCCAAAUCCUCCCUGUCCUGAGCAUCUUUUGCAGUGACACAGUGGACAUUGUUAAAUCAUCAGUGGACCUCUAGAGAAAGCCAACUUGAGAAUUUGUUCAUGGAGCAAAGUUGGUUAAAAACAUGAAUGAUCGAUGAGAUUAUUGACACCUGAAGAAAUCACGGCUGAUCAGGGUCAAUCCAUAAUCCGAGUCCCACUGAAAGGUUUCAGGAUAGCAUGGGGUUAAAGUGAAAAGUAGGAUGUAACCUCUGUUCUUGUUGAUAUCUGACUAGUAAAAGCCACAAACUUUUAAAAGGUUUUGGGACAGACAAGUUAAUCUAACGCGAUGAGUUUUGAUUUUAUCAAAAAUUGCCUGGGUAUAAAAAUGUAAUGACCUGAAUGUUUGUUUUU